rnacentral:rRNA from 1 species
AACGAACGCUGGCGGCGCGCCUAACACAUGCAAGUCGAACGAGAAUCCGGGGCAACCCGGUAGUAAAGUGGCAAACGGGUGAGGAAUACAUGGGUAACCUACCCUUGAGAAGGGAAUAACCCGCCGAAAGGUGAGCUAAUACCCUAUACGCUAUCUUUUUUUCGAAAGGGUAGGAAGCCGGGUCGAGGACCUGGUACUCAAGGAGGGGCUCAUGUCCUAUCAGCUUGUUGGUGGGGUAACGGCCUACCAAGGCUACGACGGGUAGCUGGUCUGAGAGGAUGAUCAGCCACACUGGCACUGAGAUACGGGCCAGACUCCUACGGGAGGCAGCAGUGAGGAAUAUUGCGCAAUGGGCGAAAGCCUGACGCAGCGACGCCGCGUGGGGGAUGAAGGUUUUCGGAUUGUAAACCCCUUUCAUGAGGAAAGAUAAAGUGGGUAACCACUUAGACGGUACCUCAAGAAGAAGCCACGGCUAACUUCGUGCCAGCAGCCGCGGUAAA